rnacentral:rRNA from 1 species
UGGGGCUGAAGUAGGUCCCAAGGGUAUGGCUGUUCGCCAUUUAAAGUGGUACGCGAGCUGGGUUUAGAACGUCGUGAGACAGUUCGGUCCCUAUCUGCCGUGGGCGCUGGAGAAUUGAGGGGGGCUGCUCCUAGUACGAGAGGACCGGAGUGGACGCAUCACUGGUGUUCGGGUUGUCAUGCCAAUGGCACUGCCCGGUAGCUAAAUGCGGAAGAGAUAAGUGCUGAAAGCAUCUAAGCACGAAACUUGCCCCGAGAUGAGUUCUCCCUGAGACUUUAAGUCUCCUGAAGGAACGUUGAAGACGACGACGUUGAUAGGCCGGGUGUGUAAGCGCAGCGAUGCGUUGAGCUAACCGGUACUAAUGAACCGUGAGGCUUAACCUUACAACGCCGAAG